AGAUGGAGGUGUGUGUACCUUCAUGUCAUUGAGAUGGAGGUGUGUGUACCUUCAUGUCAUUGAGAUGGAGGUGUGUGUACCUUCAUGUCAUUGAGAUGGAGGUGUGUGUACCUUCAUGUCAUUGAGAUGGAGGUGUGUGUACCUUCAUGUCAUUGAGAUGGAGGUGUGUGUACCUUCAUGUCAUUGAGAUGGAGGUGUGUGUACCUUCAUGUCAUUGAGAUGGGUGUGUGUACCUUCAUGUCAUUGAGAUGGAGGUGUGUGUGUACCUUCAUGUCAUUGAGAUGGAGGUGUGUGUGUACCUUCAUGUCAUUGAGAUGGAGGUGUGUGUACCUUCAUGUCAUUGAGAUGGAGGUACUCCUCGAUGAUGGCGCUGGACUUCUUCUCCAGCUCCUCCUCAGUCACGGCCGGUUUGGUCGGAGCAUCGGGGGGAGG